rnacentral:rRNA from 1 species
UACGCUCAAAUCACACUGAAAACACCGGUUCUCGUUCGAUCAGCGAAGUUAACCAGCGUAGAUACCGAUCAGUAAUUAGAUGGGAGACCGCUUGGGAACACU